rnacentral:rRNA from 1 species
CAGCCGCCGCGGGAAUACGUAGGUGGCAAGCGUUGUCCGGAUUUAUUGGGCGUAAAGGGCUCGCAGGCGGUUUCUUAAGUCUGAUGUGAAAGCCCCCGGCUCAAGCGGGGAGGGUCAUUGGAAACUGGGAAACUCGAGUGCAGAAGAGGAGAGUGGAAUUCCACGUGUAGCGGUGAAAUGCGUAGAGAUGUGGAGGAACACCAGUGGCGAAGGCGACUCUCUGGUCUGUAACUGACGCUGAGGAGCGAAAGCGUGGGGAGCGAACAGGAUUAGAUACCCGAGUAGUCCCUGUCUCUUAUAC